AGCUGCUAAGCAGCUGCGAGAGCCCUAUUAUUCCCCAAGUGGUUUUUCUUUGUUUCUUUAGGGCCCGAGCGUAGCUGCUAAGCAGCUGCGAGAGCCCUAUUAUUCCCCAAGUGGUUUUUCUUUGUUUCUUUCUUUCUUCUUUUUCCUCCCCUUUGAACUGGAAAAUAGCCCACUUCCCACUGGCGAAAACUCAUGAAAUUUGGCAGGAUGACCGGGCCUGGUGAAAAAUUUGAUAUUCCGAAGUCGCCCAAACAAGAAAAUGCAAAAUGGCUCCAUAGCGCCCCCUAAGGUGAAAAUUCACAAUAUUGACUGUCACGCCUGUACUCUUUGUCAAAAUGACACAAAAAUUGACACACACAUGUAUCUCAAUAAGAUCUACAAAAAAGUCAGUGCGGGCGUAUCUGUCAAAUGUACGGUUAAAGGGUUAUUUUGCAUUUUUUGCCGAUCCGCACACAUUGGAAUUUCGCUAACUCCUCCGAAGGCUUUCGUUCCACCGGCACCACAUUUGCUCAGGCCAAUCUACACCCCAUGGCCAUUAAAAGUUAUUCAAAUCAUGACGCUGCACCCCACGGUUUAGGUUCUAGGGGGCGCCAAAGAUAACCCUAAAAUCCACAUAUUUAAAAGUCUUAUAACUUUUUAUUUUUGCCCUCACUGGCCUCCAAGUUUUCUAGGAUGAUGCAAUGUCCAGCCAUCAACACAUUUGUGAAGGAAUUUUCACUCCCCAAAAGAGCGCCCCCCCAUGGCAGGAGAAAAAAGUCCAUUUUUUCUUGUCCCCUAAGGUGAAAAUACACAUUGUUGAGUGUCACGCCUGUAUGCUAUGGCAAAAUGACACAAAAUUCGACACACACAUGUAUCUCAAUAAGAUCUACGAAAAAGUCAAUGCGCGCAUAUCUGUCAAAUGUACGGUUAAAGGGUUAUUCCGCAUUUUUUGCCGAUCCGCACACAUUGGAAUUUCGCUAACUCCUCCGAAGGCUUUCGUUCCACCGGCACCACAUUUGCUCAGGCCAAUCUACACCCCAUGGCCAUUAAAAGUUAUUCAAAUCAUGACGCUGCACCCCACGGUUUAGGUUCUAGGGGGCGCCAAAUAUAACCCUAAAAUCCACAUAUUUCAAAGUCUUAUAACUUUUUAUUUUUGUCCUCACUGGCCUCCAAGUUUUCUAGGAUGAUGCAAUGUCCAGCCAUCAACACAUUUGUGAAGGAAUUUUUACUCCCCAAAAGAGCGCCCCCCCAUGGCAGGAGAAAAAAGUCCAUUUUUUCUUGUCCCCUAAGGUGAAAAUUCACAUUGUUGAGUGUGACACCUGUACGCUUUGUCAUAUUGACACAAAAUUUGACAAUCACGUGUAUCUCAAUAAGAUCUACGAAAAAGUCAAUGCGCGCGUAUCUGUCAAAUGUACGGUUAAAGGGCUAUUUUGCAUUUUUUGCCGAUUCGCACACAUUGGAAUGUGGCUAACUCCUCCUAAGGCUUUCGUCCCACUGACACCAAAUUUGCUCAGGCCAAUCUACACCCCAUGGCCAUUCAAAGUUGUAAAAAUCAUGACGCUGCACCCCACGGUUUACGUUCUAGGGGGCGCCAAAGAUGACCCAAAUAUCCACAUUCUUAAAAGAAUCCACAUCCCCCCCCCCCAUCCCCCAUACCCCAUUCCCCAUGGCAGGAGAAACAGUCAAGUUUUUCCUGCCCAUCACUCAAUGGCUCAAUCGCAUCGCUCUCCCGGCAACACCGUAACGAGGAGCAACUUGCCGUUUGGAUAUAUCCUAGCUGUGUUUGUGCCCUCACUCAUGGUCCAGACUUUUUUCAAAUAGGACAUGUAGUUUGUCUGCAGCAAGUGUUUUGGUAGAAACUGCGCCUCCCAUUCAUUAUAAUGGGAAAUGACCACAGACAAGUGCGCACACCAUCUUUGGACCUUGAGUGUGACGCGAUCGGGAGGGGGAGGCGGUCGCGCUGGGGGCGGCGCAACGCGGCUCGGGCCCGACAGUGCCCCACCGGGGCCCUAGUUCUUUCUUUAGGGCCCGAGCGUAGCUGCUAAGCAGCUGCGAGAGCCCUAUUAUUCCCCAAGUGGUUAUUCUUUGUUUCUUUUUAGGGCCCGAGCGUAGCUGCUAAGCAGCUGCGAGAGCCCUAUUAUUCCCCAAGUGGUUUUUCUUUGUUUCUUUCUUUCUUUCUUUCUUUCUUUCUUUCUUUCUUCUUUUUCCUCCCCUUUGAACUGGAAAAUGGCCCACUUCCCACUGGCGAAAACUCAUGAAAUUUGGCAGGACGACUGGGCCUGGUGAAAAAUUCGAUAUUCUGAAGUCGCCCAAACAAUAAAAUGCAAAAUGGCUCCAUAGCGCCCCCUAAGGUGGAAAUUCACACUAUUGACUGUCACGCCUGUACGCUUUGUCAUAUUGACACAAAAAUUGACACACAUAUGUAUCUCAAUAAGAUCUACAAAACAGUCAGUGCGGCUGUAUCUGUCAAAAUUACGGUUAAAGGGUUAUUUCGCAUUUUUUGCCGAUCCGCACACAUUGGAAUUUCGCUAACUCCUCCGAAGGCUUUCGUUCCACCGGCACCACAUUUGCUCAGGCCAAUCUACACCCCGUGGCCAUUAAAAGUUAUCAAAAUCAUGACGCUGCACCCCAAGGUUUAGGUUCUAGGGGGCGCCAAAGAUAACACUAAAAUCCACAUAUUUAAAAGUCUUAUAACUUUUUAUUUUUGUCCUCACUGGCCUCCAAGUUUUCUAGGAUGAUGCAAUGUCCAGCCAUCAACACAUUUGUGAAGGAAUUUUUACUCACCAAAAGAGCGCCCCCCAUGGCAUGAGAAAAAAGUCCAUUUUUUCUUGUCCCCUAAGGUGAAAAUACACAUUGUUGAGUGUCACGCCUAUACGCUUUGUCAAAAUGACACAAAAAUUGACACACACAUGUAACUCAAUAAGAUCUACGAAAAAGUCAAUGCGUGCGUAUCUGUCAAAUGUACGGUUAAAGGGUUAUUCCGCAUUUUUUGCCGAUCCGCACACAUUGGAAUGUGGCUAACUCCUCCUAAGGCUUUCGUUCCACCGGCACCACAUUUGCUCAGGCCAAUCUACACCCCAUGGCCAUUAAAAGUUAUUCAAAUCAUGACGCUGCACCCCACGGUUUAGGUUCUAGGGGGCGCCAAAGAUAACCCUAAAAUCCACAUAUUUAAAAGUCUUAUAACUUUUUAUUUUUGUCCUCACUGGCCUCCAAGUUUUCUAGGAUGAUGCAAUGUCCAGCCAUCAACACAUUUGUGAAGGCAUUUUUACUCCCCAAAAGAGCGCCCCCCCAUGGCAGGAGAAAAAAGUCCAUUUUUUCUUGUCCCCUAAGGUGAAAAUACAUAUUGUUGAGAUUCACGCCUAUACGCUUUGUCAUAUUGACACAAAAUUUGACAAUCACGUGCCUUGCCUGGUAUCAUUUUUUUCAGCACAACCUCACCUGUGCGAAUUUACAGUUAUUUUAUCAUGUUGACAUACUGAAUUUACACAAUGGACCCAAAUUCACACACAAAACAUAAAAUCCGAGUGGAAAAAAGUAACAUUUUUACUCUGAAAACCACAAUUAUGUGUGAUGAACUGUUUUUAAAACUUAGACUUCAAAUAAAAAUUGUAAACUUCAAAACAUAUGCAAAUUUUUAACAAAGAACAUAGUGAUUUACCUCUAUUUACAUCAAAAUGCAGGCAAUGGCCCAGGCGUUCUUUGUAAAAUUAUUUACAAAACACUGUAUAGUCUCACAAAUGUCACUUUUUAUUUAUGCCACUACAAAAAAACAUGAUGUAAAUGAUGCAUGAUGUAAAACAUGAUGUAAAAAACUUGUGUAGAUCCUCCUCUAUGUCAGUCCAUGUGUAAUUUUUCCAUAAUUCUUUGUUUUUUGCAGCAUUUUUGUUAGUGUAACUGCAGAUUGUGCUGACAGUGUCUAUGGCACAAAAAAAAAAAUUUAAAAUGCCUCAACAUGAACCCCUGGUGGUCUCUGAGGGUGAAACCUGCUAACUGCUGCAGCUCUGUCAGCUUCAGUCUCCCAUGCAGAGCUCUGAGCGCAUGUGUGGCUCUGCACCCUUAGCAGCGUUGCUAACUCCUCAGUAAGGAAAGCCUGCUUCAUGUCAGAGUCUCUAAACUCCAGAAGAAGUCGAUAAAAGUCCCUUUCUUUCUAAAAAAAAGUCGUUAGGGGGUCUGAAAAGUCAUUGAAUCUAACAACAAAGUCGCUAGGUUUGCAACUACGUGUCCCAGACUGCAUCCCUGCUGAGAGUCCCUCCCUCGCUUCUCAUGUUGCAGGAAGAACGUAAGCGCCCGCCCCUUGUCAAUCAGUCACCAUAUAAUUUUGGAUUGGUUGUUGUGGUGAAGUUUUCCACCAAUAGGAGAGAUGUUGUGGUGUGUUUUUUUUUUCUUUUGGCAAGCCUUUUCCGCCUGUAAGACCUGUCGCUAAUGUCUGCAUGCUAUGUUUUCCUGUCUCAUACAGCGCGAUCGAGCGCCGAACGUGAUCAAAAUAAGCAGAAAAAAAGUAUCGCGGACAUAAUUUAUCAUAACUCUGGUUUUAUUUGGCCUAUCAACACAAUUUAAAAACUGGUAUAUAGGUUGAGGUCCUCACUUUUGAGAUAAGUUGAAACGGAGAGUCAACGAGGCUCCGUCUUGCAGCUACAUCCGGUUAAAUAUGUCAUGUGACUUGAACGCACACACAGACACACACACACGCACACACACACACACACACACACACACACACACACACACACACACACACACACACACACUCAGAGUCUGGUUUUUAGCACCUGCAAAAACAUGCUGUUUACAUAUUUGACAAGAAUGCAGAGGCUCCUUUUGCCCCUGAAAAAAAUCAAAUUUCAAACACAACUUGACUGGUCAUUUCUCCAAAAGACAACCAUGAAGCUCCAUCCAAACCUGAAGCAGGCAGUUGGUGCAUGUGUACAGUAACCUGAGGGGAGUGAGGUGAGUGCUUCUGAGGAGAACAUGAGCAGUGAAGAUUCACCUUGGAGCUAGAACAGAGACAUGCACAUGAUUAUACAGGGGCAGGGGCUCAAGUUUUUUCCAGUCGUUUAUACAAUAUGGAAAUUAAUGUGAAAUUAAAACACAAAGUAUUAAUAGAAAGGUAAUGACUGUCCUGUGUAGGUGACAGUGAUAUCCAAUAGGCUAGGCACUCACGAGGCUGGCUGUGGCAAGUGUAAGUGAAAGCAACACGCACUGGCAGGAAGAACAGCAAACGCCGAUGAAGGAAAAGGGUCUUUGCAGUGAUGGGCGUUACCAGAGAGGGCGAUGGCCAGAGAACACAAAUGGGACGGGGAGGCAACACGUUGGGGGGGGGACGCGACACGGCUCGGGCCCGCCAGUGCCCCAACGGGGUCCUAGUUUCUUUUUCCUCCCCUUUGAACUGGAAAAUGGCCCACUUCUCACUGGCGAAAACUCAUGAAAUUUGGCAGGACGACCGGGCCUGGUGAAAAAUUUGAUAUUCCGAAGUCGCCCAAACAAGAAAAUGCAAAAUGGCUCCAAAGCGCCCCCUAAGGUGAAAAUUCACACUAUUGACUGUCACGCCUGUACGCUUUGUCAAAAUGACACAAAAAUUGACACACACAUGUACCUCAAUAAGAUCUACAAAAAAGUCAGUGCGGGCGUAUCUGUCAAAUGUACGGUUAGAGGGUUAUUUCGCAUUUUUUGCCGAUCCGCACACAUUGGAAUUUCGCUAACUCCUCUGAAGGCUUUCGUUCCACCGGCACCACAUUUGCUCAGGCCAAUCUACACCCCAUGGCCAUUAAAAGUUAUUCAAAUCAUGACGCUGCACCCCACGGUUUAGGUUCUAGGGGGCGCCAAAGAUAACACUAAAAUCCACAUUUUUAAAAGUCUUAUAACUUUUUAUUUUUGCCCUCACUGGCCUCCAAGUUUUCUAGGAUGAUGCAAUGUCCAGCCAUCAACACAUUUGUGAAUGAAUUUUUACUCCCCAAAAGAGCGCCCCCCCAUGGCAGGAGAAAAAAGUCCAUUUUUUCUUGUCCCCUAAGGUGAAAAUACACAUUGUUGAGUGUUACGCCUGUACGCUUUGGCAAAAUGACACAAAAAUUGACACACACAUGUAUCUCAAGAAGAUCUACAAAAAAGUCCAUGCGCGCGUAUCUGUAUAAUGUACGGUUAAAGGGUUAUUCCGCAUUUUUUGCCGAUCCGCACACAUUGGAAUUUCGCUAACUCCUCCGAAGGCUUUCGUUCCACCGGCACCACAUUUGCUCAGGCCAAAUUACACCCCAUGGCCAUUAAAAGUUAUUCAAAUCAUGACGCUGCACCCCACGGUUUACGUUCUAGGGGGCGCCAAAGAUAACCCAAAAAUCCACAUUUUUAAAAGUCUUUUAACUUUUUAUUUUUGUCCUCACUGGCCUCCAAGUUUUCUAGGAUGAUGCAAUGUCCAGCCAUCAACACAUUUGUGAAGGAAUUUUUACUCCCUAAAAGAGCGCCCCCCCAUGGCAGGAGAAAAAAGUCCAUUUUUUCUUGUCCCCUAAGGUGAAAAUACACAUUGUUGACUGUCACGCCUGUACGCUUUGGCAAAAUGACACAAAAAUUGACAAUCAUGUGUAUCUCAAUUAGAUCUACGAAAAAGUCAAAGAGCGCGUAUCUGUAUAAUGUACGGUAAAAGGGCUAUUUUGCAUUUUUUGCCAAUUCGCACACAUUGGAAUUUCACUAACUCCUCCUAAGGCCUUCGUCCCACUGACACCAAAUUUGCUCAGGCCAAUCUACACUCCAUGGCCAUUCAAAGUUGUAAAAAUCAUGACGCUGCACCCCACGGUUUACGUUUUAGGGGGCGCCAAAGAUGACCCAAAUAUACAUUACAGUAGACAAAGUAGUUUUGCCCACUGAGUGGCGCCAAAGGGACUUGUCUGUGGAGUCUGUGAGUCACUAUUGGCCGUUUUUGACUACUUUAGAUUUUACCUUUAUAUUUCCUCUUACAAAAUUUUUACCUUGCCUUGCCUGGUAUCAUUUUUUUCAGCACAACCUCACCUGUGUCAAUUUACAGUUAUUUUAUCAUUUUGACAUACUAUAUUUACACAUUGGACCCAAAUUCACACACAAAACAUAAAAUCCGAGUGGAAAAAAGUAACGUUUUUACUGUGAAAACCACAAAUAAGUGUGAUGAACUGUUUUUAAAACUUAAACUUCAAAUAAAAAUUGUAAACUUCAAAACAUAUGCAAAUUUUUAACAAAGAACAUAGUAAUUUACCUCUAUUGACAUCAAAAUGCAGGCAAUGGCCCAGGUGUUCUUUGUAAAAUUAUUUACAAAACACUGUAUAGUCUCACAAAUGUCACUUUUAUUUAUGCCACUACAAAAAAACAUGAUGUAAAUGAUGCAUGAUGUAAAACAUGAUGUAAAAAACUUGUGUAGAUCCUCCUCUAUGUUAGUCCAUGUGUAAUUUUUCCAUAAUUCUUUGUUUUUUGCAGCAUUUUUGUUAGUGUAACUGCAGAUUGUGCUGACAGUGUCUAUGGCAAAAAAAAAAAAAAAAAAACUGAAAAUGCCUCAACAUGAACCCCUGGUGGUCUCUGAGGGUGAAACCUGCUAACUGCUGCAGCUCUGUCAGCUUCAGUCUCCCAUGCAGAGCUCGGAGCGCAUGUGUGGCUCUGCACCCUUAGCAGUGUUGCUAACUCCUCAGUAAGGAAAGCCUGCUUCAUGUCAGAGUCUCUAAACUCCAGAAGAAGUCGAUAAAAGUCACUUUCUUUCUAAAAAAAAGUCGUUAGGGGGUCUGAAAAGUCAUUGAAUCUAACAACAAAGUCGCUAGGUUUGCAACUACGUGUCCCAGACUGCAUCCCUGCUGAGAGUCCCUCCCUCCCUUCUCAUAUUGCAGGAAGAACGUAAGUUCCCGCCCCUUGUCAAUCAGUCACCAUAUAAUUUUGGAUUGGUUGUUGUGGUGAAGUUUUCCACCAAUAGGAGAGAUGUUGUGGUGUGUUUUUUUUUUCCUUUGGCAAGCCUUUUCCGCCUGUAAGACCUGUCGCUAAUGUCUGCAUGCUAUGUUUUCCUGUCUCAUACAGCGCGAUCGAGCGCCGAACGUGAUCAAAAUAAGCAGAAAACAAGUAUCGCGGACAUAAUUUAUCAUAACUCUGGUUUUAUUUGGCCUAUCAACACAAUUUAAAAACUGGUAUAUAGGUUGAGGUCCUCACUUUUGAGAUAAAUUGAAACGGAGAGUCAACGAGGCUCCGUCUUGCAGCUACAUCCGGUUAAAUAUGUCAUGUGACUUGAACGCACACACACACACACACACAGACACACACACACACGCACACACACACACGCACACACACACACUCAGAGUCUGGUUUUUAGCACCUGCAAAAACAUGCUAUUUACAUAUUUGACAAGAAUGCAGAGGCUCCUUUUGCCCCUGAAAAAAAUCAAAUUUCAAACACAACUUGACUGGUCAUUUCUCCAAAAGACAACCAUGAAGCUCCAUCCAAACCUGAAGCAGGCAGUUGGUGCAUGUGUACAGUAACCUGAGGGGAGUGAGGUGACUGCUUCUGAGGAGAACAUGAGCAGUGAAGAUUCACCUUAGAGCUAGAACAGAGACGUGCACAUGAUUAUACAGGGGCAGGGGCUCAAGUUUUUUCCAGUUGUUUAUACAAUGUGGAAAUUAAUGUGAAAUUAAAAAACAAAGUAUUAAUAGAAAGGUAAUGACUGUCCUGUGUAGGUGACAGUGAUAUCCAAUAGGCUAGGCACUCACGAGGCUGGCUGUGGCAAGUGUAAGUGAAAGCAACACGCACUGGCAGGAAGAACAGCAAACGCCGAUGAAGGAAAAGGGUCUUUGCAGUGAUGGGCGUUACCAGAGAGGGCGACGGCCAGAGGACGCGAAUGGGACGGGGAGGCAGCGCGUUGGGGGGGGGACGCGACACAGCUCGGGCCCGCCAGUGCCCCAACGGGGUCCUAGUUAGGGCCCGAGCCAGCUGCAGAGCAGCCGGGCGUAGGCCCUAUUAUUCCCCAAGUGGUUUUUCUUUGUUUCUUUCUUUCUUUCUUUCUUCUUUUUCCUCCCCUUUGAACUGGAAAAUGGCCCACUUCCCACUGGCGAAAACUCAUGAAAUUUGGCAGGACGACCGGGCCUGGUGAAAAAUUCGAUAUUCUGAAGUCGCCCAAACAAUAAAAUGCAAAAUGGCUCCAUAGCGCCCCCUAAGGUGGAAAUUCACACUAUUGACUGUCACGCCUGUACGCUUUGUCAUAUUGACACAAAAAUUGACACACAUAUGUAUCUCAAUAAGAUCUACAAAAAAGUCAGUGCGGGCGUAUCUGUCAAAUGUACGGUUAAAGGGUUAUUUCGCAUUUUUUGCCGAUCCGCACACAUUGGAAUUUCGCUAACUCCUCCGAAGGCUUUCGUUCCACCGGCACCACAUUUGCUCAGGCCAAUCUACACCCCGUGGCCAUUAAAAGUUAUCAAAAUCAUGACGCUGCACCCCAAGGUUUAGGUUCUAGGGGGCGCCAAAGAUAACACUAAAAUCCACAUAUUUAAAAGUCUUAUAACUUUUUAUUUUUGUCCUCACUGGCCUCCAAGUUUUCUAGGAUGAUGCAAUGUCCAGCCAUCAACACAUUUGUGAAGGAAUUUUUACUCCCCAAAACAGCGCCCCCCCAUGGCAGGACAAAAAAGUCAAUUUUUUCUUGUCCCCUAAGGUGAAAAUACACAUUGUUGAGUGUCACGCCUAUACGCUUUGUCAAAAUGACACAAAAAUUGACACACACAUGUAACUCAAUAAGAUCUACGAAAAAGUCAAUGCGCGCGUAUCUGUCAAAUGUACGGUUAAAGGGCUAUUUUGCAUUUUUUGCCGAUCCGCACACAUUGGAAUGUGGCUAACUCCUCCUAAGGCUUUCGUUCCACCGGCACCACAUUUGCUCAGGACAAUCUACACCCCAUGGCCAUUAAAAGUUAUUCAAAUCAUGACGCUGCACCCCACGGUUUAGGUUCUAGGGGGCGCCAAAGAUAACCCUAAAAUCCACAUAUUUAAAAGUCUUAUAACUUUUUAUUUUUGUCCUCACUGGCCUCCAAGUUUUCUAGGAUGAUGCAAUGUCCAGCCAUCAACACAUUUGUGAAGGAAUUUUUACUCCCCAAAAGAGCGCCCCCCCAUGGCAGGAGAAAAAAGUCCAUUUUUUCUUGUCCCCUAAGGUGAAAAUAUAUAUUGUUGAGAUUCAAGCCUAUACGCUUUGUCAUAUUGACACAAAAUUUGACAAUCACGUGCCUUGCCUGGUAUCAUUUUUUUCAGCACAACCUCACCUGUGCGAAUUUACAGUUAUUUUAUCAUGUUGACAUACUGAAUUUACACAAUGGACCCAAAUUCACACACAAAACAUAAAAUCAGAGUGGAAAAAAGUAACAUUUUUACUGUGAAAACCACAAAUAUGUGUGAUGAACUGUUUUUAAAACUUAAACUUCAAAUAAAAAUUGUAAACUUCAAAACAUAUGCAAAUUUUUAACAAAGAACAUAGUGAUUUACCUCUAUUUUCAUCAAAAUGCAGGCAAUGGCCCAGGCGUUCUUUGUAAAAUUUAUUUACAAAACACUGUAUAGUCUCACAAAUGUCACUUUUUAUUUAUGCCACUACAAAAAAACAUGAUGUAAAUGAUGCAUGAUGUAAAACAUGAUGUAAAAAACUUGUGUAGCUCCUCCUCUAUGUCAGUCCAUGUGUAAUUUUUCCAUAAUUCUUUGUUUUUUGCAGCAUUUUUGUUAGUGUAACUGCAGAUUGUGCUGACAGUGUCAAUGGCACAAAAAAAAAAAUAAAAUGCCUCAACAUGAACCCCUGGUGGUCUCUGAGGGUGAAACCUGCUAACUGCUGCAGCUCUGUCAGCUUCAGUCUCCCAUGCAGAGCUCUGAGCGCAUGUGUGGCUCUGCACCCUUAGCAGCGUUGCUAACUCCUCAGUAAGGAAAGCCUGCUUCAUGUCAGAGUCUCUAAACUCCAGAAGAAGUCGAUAAAAGUCCCUUUCUUUCUAAAAAAAAGUCGUUAGGGGGUCUGAAAAGUCAUUGAAUCUAACAACAAAGUCGCUAGGUUUGCAACUACGUGUCCCAGACUGCAUCCCUGCUGAGAGUCCCUCCCUCCCUUCUCAUGUUGCAGGAAGACAGUAAGCACCCGCCCCUUGUCAAUCAGUCACCAUAUAAUUUUGGAUUGGUUGUUGUGGUGAAGUUUUCCACCAAUAGGAGAGAUGUUGUGGUGUGUUUUUUUUUCUUUUGGCAAGCCUUUUCCGCCUGUAAGACCUGUCGCUAAUGUCUGCAUGCUAUGUUUUCCUGUCUCAUACAGCGCGAUUGAGCGCCGAACGUGAUCAAAAUAAGCAGAAAACAAGUAUCGCGGACAUAAUUUAUCAUAACUCUGGUUUUAUUUGGCCUAUCAACACAAUUUAAAAACUGGUAUAUAGGUUGAGGUCCUCACUUUUGAGAUAAGUUGAAACGGAGAGUCAACGAGGCUCCGUCUUGCAGCUACAUCCGGUUAAAUAUGUCAUGUGACUUGAACGCACACACACACACGCACACACACACACACACACACACACACACACACACACACACACACACACACACACACACACACACUCAGAGUCUGGUUUUUAGCACCUGCAAAAACAUGCUAUUUACAUAUUUGACAAGAAUGCAGAGGCUCCUUUUGCCCCUGAAAAAAAUCAAAUUUCAAACACAACUUGACUGGUCAUUUCUCCAAAAGACAACCAUGAAGCUCCAUCCAAACCUGAAGCAGGCAGUUGGUGCAUGUGUACAGUAACCUGAGGGGAGUGAGGUGAGUGCUUCUGAGGAGAACAUGAGCAGUGAAGAUUCACCUUGGAGCUAGAACAGAGACAUGCACAUGAUUAUACAGGGGCAGGGGCUCAAGUUUUUUCCAGUCGUUUAUACAAUAUGGAAAUUAAUGUGAAAUUAAAACACAAAGUAUUAAUAGAAAGGUAAUGACUGUCCUGUGUAGGUGACAGUGAUAUCCAAUAGGCUAGGCACUCACGAGGCUGGCUGUGGCAAGUG